rnacentral:rRNA from 1 species
GACAGAGGGUGCAAACGUUGCUCGGAAUUACUGGGCGUAAAGGGCGUGUAGGCGGGAAGGCAAGUCGGGCGUGAAAGCCCCAGGCUCAACCUGGGAACUGCACUCGAAACUGCCUUUCUUGAGUGCCGGAGAGGAAAGCGGAAUUCCUGGUUUAGAGGUGAAAUUCGUAGAUAUCAGGAGGAACACCAGUGGCGAAGGCGGCUUUCUGGACGGUAACUGACGCUGAGACGCGAAAGCGUGGGGAGCAAACAGG